UCUCUGGAGUUUCUUAACCCUCCCCUUGCUCCUUCUUUGCUAGGCAGGAUCUGGAAAAAAGAAAUCAAGGCCAAGCUCAACAAAACUACUGCUGCGUAAUAGCAGUCCUUUUUCACACACAGAUGGUCAACCAGAAGAAUGAGAGCUUUAUAAGACAGACAUCAUGCUGGCCCUAGGAAUCCUGUUCUCCUGGACCUCAGCAGGAGUUUUUCAUCACCAAAGAGGAUAAUAAGUCUGUCAGGCACCUCAUACACAUCAAACAGGAGCUGCCAAUGAGCAACUUACUGCAGGAUAUGAAGAGGACGCACUGGCAGAGCUGUUUCACUGAAUGUUUCAGACAACUUGGCUCCCAUGUUCCUAGCUCAGUCUGGUGCUGUCAAGCCCUCAAGUGCAUUCUCCAAGGGCUCCCAGGCCUCAUUCAGUGCAUGGAAUAGAUGAUGAUCACCCAGAGAGCAACUAUUCAACACUCUUCAGGUCCUGCUUGGAAGACAG